UGGGGAAUAUUGCGCAAUGGGCGAAAGCCUGACGCAGCGACGCCGCGUGAGGGAUGAAGGUUUUCGGAUCGUAAACCUCUGUCAGAAGGGAAGAAACCGCACUGUGCUAAUCAGCAGUGCCUUGACGGUACCUUCAAAGGAAGCACCGGCUAACUCCGUGCCAGCAGCCGCGGUAAUACGGAGGGUGCAAGCGUUAAUCGGAAUUACUGGGCGUAAAGCGCACGUAGGCUGCUUUGUAAGUCAGGGGUGAAAUCCCACGGCUCAACCGUGGAACUGCCUUUGAUACUGCUUAGCUUGAAUUCGGGAGAGGGUGGCGGAAUUCCAGGUGUAGGAGUGAAAUCCGUAGAUAUCUGGAGGAACAUCAGUGGCGAAGGCGGCCACCUGGACCGGUAUUGACGCUGAGGUGCGAAAGCGUGGGGAGCAAACAGG
rnacentral:rRNA from 1 species